rnacentral:rRNA from 1 species
UUCCGGUUGAUCCCGCCGGAGGCCACUGCUAUCGGGGUCCGACUAAGCCAUGCGAGUCAAGGGGGUGUCCCUCUGGGACACCACCGGCGGACGGCUCAGUAACACGUCGGUAACCUACCCUCGGGAGGGGGAUAACCCCGGGAAACUGGGGCUAAUCCCCCAUAGGCCUGAGGUACUGGAAGGUCCUCAGGCCGAAAGGGGCUUUUGCCCGCCCGAGGAUGGGCCGGCGGCCGAUUAGGUAGUUGGUGGGGUAACGGCCCACCAAGCCGAAGAUCGGUACGGGCUGUGAGAGCAGGAGCCCGGAGAUGGACACUGAGACACGGGUCCAGGCCCUACGGGGCGCAGCAGGCGCGAAACCUCCGCAAUGCGGGAAACCGCGACGGGGGGACCCCGAGUGCCGUGGCACCGCCACGGCUUUUCCGGAGUGUAAAAAGCUCCGGGAAUAAGGGCUGGGCAAGGCCGGUGGCAGCCGCCGCGGUAAUACCGGCGGCCCGAGUGGUGGCCGCUAUUAUUGGGCCUAAAGCGUCCGUAGCCGGGCCCGUAAGUCCCUGGCGAAAUCCCACGGCUCAACCGUGGGGCUUGCUGGGGAUACUGCGGGCCUUGGGACCGGGAGAGGCGGGGGGUACCCCUGGGGUAGGGGUGAAAUCCUAUAAUCCCAGGGGGACCGCCAGUGGGCGAGGCGCCCCGCUGGAACGGGUCCGACGGUGAGGGACGAAAGCCAGGGGAGCAAACCGGAAUAGAUACCCGGGUAGUCCUGGCUGUAAAGGAUGCGGGCUAGGUGUCGGGUGAGCUUCGAGCUCGCCCGGUGCCGUAGGGAAGCCGUUAAGCCCGCCGCUGGGGAGUACGGCCGCAAGC